UACGGGGGGAGCAAGCGUUGUUCGGAUUUACUGGGCGUAAAGGGCGCGUAGGCGGUCAGCACAAGUCAGUUGUGAAAUCUCCGGGCUUAACUCGGAAAGGUCAACUGAUACUGUGCGACUAGAGUGCAGAAGGGGCAACUGGAAUUCCCGGUGUAGAGGUGAAAUUCGUAGAUAUCGGGAGGAACACCGGUGGCGAAGGCGGCGACCUGGGACAAUACUGACGCUGAGGUGCGAAAGCGUGGGGAGCAAACAGG
rnacentral:rRNA from 1 species